rnacentral:lncRNA from 1 species
UCUCUCUAAAACCUGCAAACUUAACAUCAUCAUCUCCAAUCAAACCUCCGGCGACACAUGUGCACUCCGAUCAAACCUCCGACGGUUCACAACUCGGAAUCCAGAUUAUUGAAUGUACGUACCGUAUGAUCUGUGUUAUGAAUCUGCUAUUCAAGAUGAUGAAGAUGGGUUUUAAUGGGGAAUAUACAAAUAAUUAUGCAUAGGGUACAACUAGAAUAUGUUGG